rnacentral:rRNA from 1 species
CAGCCGCCGCGGUAAUACAGAGGGUGCGAGCGUUAAUCGGAUUUACUGGGCGUAAAGCGUGCGUAGGCGGCUUCUUAAGUCGGAUGUGAAAUCCCUGAGCUUAACUUAGGAAUUGCAUUCGAUACUGGGAAGCUAGAGUAUGGGAGAGGAUGGUAGAAUUUUAGGUGUAGCGGUGAAAUGCGUAGAGAUCUGGAGGAAUACCGAUGGCGAAGGCAGCCAUCUGGCCUAAUACUGACGCUGAGGUACGAAAGCAUGGGGAGCAAACAGGAUUAGAUACCCCCGUAGUCCCUGUCUCUUAUAC